UUUUUUUUUUUUUUUUUUUUUUUUGAAAGUCAGAUAAAGUAUGUUGUCAAUUCAGUCAACAAGGGGACGUGAAAGAGAGUAUCUUGCAGCCUUAAAUAGACAGAUUGAUCAACUCUACGCCAAUAGGAAAAGGAUUUACAUUCAAGAAUUGUGAUUGGAUGACCAUGUAUCAGCGGAGUAUAAAUAAUCGUGUUGAGAGGAAACAACUCAUUCUAGAGGGCUUUAUUUGCUCAAACUGUACGAAAAUAUUUAAGACCCAAAGUUCUCUUAAGGAGCACAAUUACAUAGUCCAUGAACGUCGAAUACCGUUUUUGAAGGCUCCAAAGUUAUUCCAAGAAGCUGAUAAUUGUACUCUUUAGUAGACCUUAGCUUCAAAAUUCAAUUUCUCUUUCUCUCAAAAAAAUGUUACAUUUUAUGUAAUAAAUAUUGCAAAUAUGCCCCAAAUCAAUGCUUCUUGUGAGCAUUUCCGACAAUGCGCGACAAACAUGGUCGGAUAAUUAUUCGGUUUAAAUGUAUAGAUGUAUUUAAUAUUUGAUGAUAAUUCUAAUGAAGUUUUAAGCCGGGGAGGACCGCAUAAACUUAAAAGUAAUAUUAUGUUCAAAUUCAAAUUGUUUAAUUUUUAAAAAAAAUUAGAAAUGAUCCUUUUAUUAAUGAUUAGAUAGUAUGUAAAAAAUUGUCAAGAUAUCACACAACCCCCCUCCCUUUCAUUUUUGUUCAAAAUAUGUCACUUCUUAAAAAUAUGCUUCUCAUCAAAAACAUGAAAGGUGAAAGAUUUAAGUUUCUAUUUUAAUAUGGCGAAUUAUCUAAAAUAAAAAACAAUUAUUAUAUUAAUUUAAAAAAAAGAUUUAUUCACCCUUUCUUUUGAGUUCAAGAUAAUUUAAUCAUUCUGUAAUAAAUAAUAUCUUAUGCAUGUUGUAAAAUUAUUGAUCAGUGAAUUAUUAUCAAUCUCUUAGAUAUUUUAUUUUAUUUUUGAAAUUGGCAAUCACAUUUAAAAUUAUGUAGAAAACUAAUUACUUUGUUUUGUAGAUUAUCCUAAUUUUUUAAAGAUAUUAUAUAUAUUAUUUCAAUUUAUCUUAACUGUAGAAUCCACCCAGAUAUAUACUUAUUUAAUUUGGAGAUAAUUCAGCAACUAUUAUUUGUAAAUUCUAAAUCAUUAAUAAAUAACUUUUCCAUAAAAAUGGAACAAUAUUUAGCUCCUAAGGAUAUGGUAAACUAUAGUUAACAUUAA
rnacentral:lncRNA from 1 species